UUCCGGCAUCGAUGAAGAACGCAGCGAAAUGCGAUAACUAAUGUGAAUUGCAGAAUUCAGUGAAUCAUCGAGUCUUUGAACGCACAUUGCGCCCCCUGGUAUUCCGGGGGGCAUGCCUGUCCGAGCGUCAUUGCUGCCCUCAAGCCCGGCUUGUGUGUU
rnacentral:rRNA from 1 species